AUCUUCAUGAAGUAGGCAAUCUCCUUGCCUGUACAUACUGCUUGGUUAAACCUCACAACAUGAAGUAGGAGGCUCCCAAGCGACACCUAACCAAAUAGGAGACACCACUCUCCAAAAGGUAAUAGAUACGAUAGUAUGAUGAACUCCUUGCUCUUGUGCUUCAAAAGAUAGUCUCCUCAACACUCAAUAACUCUCUCACAAAUUUAGCUUGGGAAGUAGAGAUUGAUUGGGUGGAAAGCAACUUGGGCAGGCUAGAAAUCAAGAUUCAAAUGGUAGGAUUGGAAU
rnacentral:lncRNA from 1 species